rnacentral:rRNA from 1 species
CCUACGGGUGGCAGCAGGGAGGAAUAUUGGUCAAUGGGCGCGAGCCUGAACCAGCCAAGUAGCGUGAAGGAUGAAGGCGCUACGGGUUGUAAACUUCUUUUAUAAAGGAAUAAAGUGAGGCACGUGGGCCUGAUUGUAUGUACUUUAUGAAUAAGGAUCGGCUAACUCCGUGCCAGCAGCCGCGGUAAUACGGAGGAUCCGAGCGUUAUCCGGAUUUAUUGGGUUUAAAGGGAGCGUAGAGGGGUUGUUAAGUCAGUUGUGAAAGUUUGCGGCUCAACCGUAAAAUUGCUAUUGCUACUGGCAGUCUUGUGUUCAUUUGAGGUAGGCGGCAUUCGUGUUGUAGCGGU